rnacentral:rRNA from 1 species
GACGAACGCUGGCGGCGUGCUUAACACAUGCAAGUCGAACGAAGUGGCGAACGGGUGAGUAACGCGUAAUCAACCUGCCCUUCAGAGGGGGACAACAGUUGGAAACGACUGCUAAUACCGCAUGCUGAAGGAGGGGAUUGCGUCUGAUUCGCUAGUUGGGGGGGUAACGGCCCCCCAAGGCGAUGAGCAGGAGCCGGUCUGAGAGGGUGAACGGACACAAUUGGAAGUGGACACGGCCCAGAGUCCUACGGGAGGCAGCAGUGGGGGAAUUUGCGGAAUGGGCGAAAGGCUGACGGAGCAACGCCGCGUGAGGGAUGACGGCCUUCGGGUUGUAAAGCUCUGUUAAUCGGGACGCGGUACCGGAAUAGAAAGCCACGGCUAACUACGUGCCAGCAGCCGCGGUAAUAC